CUCUUUUUACAGGGUUCCUUUCCCAUGAACAUUCUAUAACUUACUUUUUACUUUCAGAUUUUGUCCUAUGCUUGCAUCACACCCUCCCCACUUCCAGGGGAGAGUUACUUUCUCUUCUCUUAACAAAAUGCAUUUCCAUUUUUAAUACCUUUCUCUUUUUAUAGAAAAAUUUUAAGGUUUUUAAAGUUAUGAAUUAUAUUGAUUUAUGUAACUUAAACCAGUAAAAUUAACAUUAUUAAUUAUUAACCUAAACAAAACUUUCUUUGAUUAUUAAUCUCCUUUUGAUAACAGAUUGAGAGGCUUCUUUACCUUUUAAAUAAACUGUUGUAACUUCCUAUAUUUGUCUUUAAAAUAUUUUAUUGUCACUUUGGUUGAGCACAUAAGUAAUGUUUCACAGUGAUCUAUGAUCCUACUUGAUCAAAAAUUUUAAAACCUUUGUUGUCUUAACAAAAUUCCCCAAAUCAAAUUCUAAGUAAAGUUCUUGUGAUCUCUAACUUUGGGAUGGAUCAAAGGGUCCCUGAAACAUUCCAAAGUAAGAUAUUAAAUUAACUAAGUUUGAGAGGCAGAGCAAGAUGGCUGAGGAGUAAGAGGUCAUGCUCAACUUCUCCCACAAACACAUCAAAAAAACACAUCUACAUGUAAAACGACUCACACAGAACAUCAACUCAAUGCUGGCACAAGAACUUAAACCUCCAAAAAGGGCAAGAAACUCUUGACAUAACUGGGUAGAACAAAAGAAAAAGAGAGAGAGAAAAGGAAUCAGGAUGGGACUAGCAUUCUCAAGAGGGAGCUGUGAAAGAGCAAAGGAACCCACAUCCUGAGAAGCCACCUAACUGAAGGAAAGAUCAGCUGAGUCACUGGGACCUCAAAGUCGCUGAGAAAAGCACAGCUGCUGGACUGAUAACAGCAAAGCAGAGUGAGAGCUGCACAGAUCAUCUGAACCACUGGUUCGAACACCGCAGCCUGAGAUGCACAGGUAGGAGCUGGGCACUGAGACUCAGACUCUGGAGGUCAGUCCCAGGGAGAGAACUGGGGCUUGCUAUGUGGGGACAGUUUGAGGGGCUAAGGAGAUGUGGCCCAUGGGCGGGGGAGCAGUAUGCCAUGGGCUGGGGAGGGGAACACCAUGGCAGAGGGAACCCAGGAAAAGGUCCAGACCCUCAGGAGAGGCAUGUGCCAUUGUUGGGGAGGGGAGAGGAAAAGGGGCAGGCCACCAUAGGAAACUCCCUGCACCAGAGCAUGCGCAUGCCCAUGGGCUCACAGAGGGUGGACAGCUCUGGUGCAGGCUACAGGAGCGGACAUGGAGAAGCCUCUUGCUCGUUUAGGGGAGGUUAGGUGCUUUUGUGCAGACUACCAGUGACCAGGCACCUCUCGUUUGGGCUAAGGGCAUCAGGAGCUAAAUGCAGUGUAUUUCCUCUUGCACGAUCCACAGGUGUCAGGGAUAGACUGUGGUUAUCGUCUCAGAGGCCUGUGAGUGGGCUCCACCUGUGACCCCAGUUACCUCAGGGGUUGACAAAAAAAAGGGCACUGCAACCAAGCACCAUAUUCUAUUGCUCUCACUCCCCUGGGAACACACCCACCCUGAAGCUGCCACUGCCAAACGCUAUGGGUGACACCCAGACACUUGGUCACUGUUCCCUCCCAAGGAUCAACUGGUACAGCACCUCCUGUGUGAACUAAGUGGGACAGGGGGUUUCUUGCAUGCUCUGCAGCCUCUGCCACCAUCCCACAUGUCUUUGCUGCUGUUGAGAGCCCAGCAACCCAGUACUGACUGCUGGCCCUACCCAUUGCCUCCUUCUCUCUGAAAAGACACUGAGCAUCCUGGGAAUAACAGCCUGCUCACACUGAAGAAAGAGACAGAAAAUAUUCAAACUCCCACAAAAAAUAAAUAGUAACUCUGCCAAAAAUACAAAGAGAUAUUCUUGAAUAGAAGUAGCUUGCAAGACUACAGUUUGCUUUCUCCAAACUCACAGACAAACACAAGCAAGAUGAAGAAGCUCAGAAACCAUUCCCAGUUAAAGGAACAAGAGAACUCACAUAAAGCAGUCAACUGUGAAACAGAACUCUGCAUUCUGACAGACUUUGAGUUCAAAAGGGAGAUAGCAAAAAUACUGAAGGAAUUAAGGGAGUAUAUGUACAGUAAUGCAGGUUCCUUUAGAAAGGAACUAGAAAUUAUAAGGAGGAGCCAAGAAAAACUAGAAAAUUCAUUUGUAGAGAUACAAACUGAGCUAAAGGCAGUAAAAACCAGAAUGAAUAAUGCAGAGGAACAAAUUAGUGACGUGGAAGAUAGAAUAAUGGAAAUCACCCAAACAGGAG
rnacentral:lncRNA from 1 species